rnacentral:tRNA from 1 species
GGGUCGGCUCGCCUACUGGUGUGGGCAACGGUCUGUAAAACCGCCGCGUUUGCGUUGCUGGUUCAAUUCCAGCCCGACCCAUCA